rnacentral:rRNA from 1 species
AUUGAACGCUGGCGGCAGGCCUAACACAUGCAAGUCGAGCGGAGCGUCGGACGGGUGAGUAAUGCCUAGGAAUCUGCCUGGUAGUGGGGGAUAACGUCCGGAAACGGGCGCUAAUACCGCAUACUAUCAGAUGAGCCUAGGUCGUAUUAGCUAGUUGGUGGGGUAAAGGCCUACCAAGGCGACGAUCCGUAACUGGGCUGAGAGGAUGAUCAGUAACACUGGUACUGAGACACGGUCCAGACUCCUACGAGAGGCAGCAAUGGGGAAUAUUGGACAAUGGGCAAAAGCCUGAUCAGGCCGUGCCGCGUGUGUGAAAAGGGUCGUCGGAUUGUAAAGCACUUUAAGUGGGAGGGCGUUACCAACAGAAUAAGCACCGGCUAACUUCGUGCCAACAGCCGCGGUAAUAC